rnacentral:lncRNA from 13 species
CAAAUUGUCGGGCCUAGUCCUAUUUUCAUGUGCCAGAAUUAUUUUGCAUUAGAAUGAAAGGGUGACAUAAAUUACAACACUCUCUAUAACCAUUUGACCUUUUAAUAUCUCUCUCUCUCUCUCUCUCAUAUCUCCGUCUCAUAUAACACACACAGGAAGUGAGUAUAUGCUCAUAACAGUAUAUCUAUUUCCUCAUCAUGGCCAUUUGCAUCUCAGCUACAGCAAGCCUGUCAUGUCUUCUCUUGCCUGACGCUUCUUUCACAGAUAGAAAAUGGUUCCAAUGGAGGUAUUGAAUGGGGUCCAAAAAGUUCCAGAACCCAGUCCAGAAAGUGUGAGCCUGAAGGUUCUAGAUCCCAGCCCAGACAAUGAAAGAACCAUUCACGGUUUCGCCCACACCAUGGCUGAAGACAUAAUAUACUCAGCUACAUAUGAGUCCUCAUCCGGGUGUCCUCCAGUCCAGGAGAGACUGGCUGAGAAGUUAGCCUCUCUGGCCAUCACAGCUGCCUUGAAGGAAGCAAUUAGAAGUGAGAUAUUUUGGCCUAAUACAAGAUCUUGGUCAUUUUCCAACCCCAGCCCAUCCUCAGAUAGAAGGGAGCAGGGACUACACAAUACAAGACAUGGGGAGGUUCAUAUGCACACAGAGAUGAGUGGCAAUGGUGAGAAACUUCAAUAUAACCCCAAUGUGACCAUCAAGUCCCACAGCUCUGGAUCAUCCACCUCCACUUCACAACCCUCCAAACACACCCACUCCUACUGCUCCUUCUUACCCCAGUCAGGGCUUCCUACAGUGGGAUCACUGGAUUACCCAGAUGCCCCCCCAACCACCCCUCUUUUCCCAGAGAUGGUCCAGAGCAGGGCUAGCUUUACCCAAAAACUAAAGGGGGGUUUGGCUAAAGAGUUCCUCCCCUCUCCCCCUCCCCCUACCCCUAAGGAAAAGCACAGAGAUGGGGGGCUCGCAUUGGAGACUGUGGGGGAGGUCGAGGACACACAGGAGGGGGAGGAUUUCAUUGGGCAUCUGUUGAGCUCUCUUUCUCUGGAGUGUUCUGAGAGAGAGGAAGUUUGGAAAGAAGAGGAAGAGUUUGAUAUACCAACAGGUAUUUUGAUGGACGGUUAUGAAGAGCGAGGACCCCACGGAAGGAGAGCCAAGCUGAUGGCAUAUGUGGAUGCACUAUAUGUGGAUGCACUCUCUGAUGAGAUCACCACCUGGAUGACAAAUAACAUGACAAAUAUUGACGGCCUCUCUCUGAUAUGUGAUCAAAUGGUUGAUCAAAUCAUCACAUCCUCCAUGAGUGAGGUGAGGCUGAGGAAGUACGUUGGAAGGCUGGUCUCAGAUGCACUCUCCAUGGGAUGGGAAGAGCAGAAGGCAGCCUCUCUCCAUGACUCCCUGGUUCUCCGGCAGGAGCAGAUAGGGAGAAGGGAACCAAACCCAAUGGACCAAGGGGCUCAUCUAAUUGUCUAUCCCUAUCCAACCAAUCCCAACCAGUCAUCCAGCAUCCAACUUUGCUCACCCAAAACUAAUGAGAUGGAUCUGGAUCUGACCACUAACACAGCCCACCCUCCAGCCCACUCGCCAACCUCUGUAAUCAGUCAAUCCUAUGCUGAAGACUUGGCCCGAGCUGUGGUGAGGUGUUGUGUAAUGGAAGCCUCCAGGAAGCAGUGUAUGUAGCUCUCCAGGGAUGCAUCCCAAAUUACACAUUAAUCCCUGUAUGGUGGACUACUUUUGACCAGAUCUCUGGUCAAAAAAAAUGCACCAUAUAGGGAAUAUGUGUAGUUUUCCAGGCUGGUUGGACUGUGUUGGACGGCCUGGUGGUAAAAAAUAAACUAACUGACCCCAAGAGGGCGACAUUAGAGUAAUAGACAGCUCCUGAACAAAGUGUUGGAGAUGGAAAACAGUUGGUAAUGUCAAAACUGAUGAGCUUGAUAUACGACACAACCUUAACACACAAUUAUGAUUAGGUUUGUUACAUGAGCUAUAGACCUAAUUAAGAAUGGUCUUUAAAUUUGCUAACUUCUGAUGAUAUUGCCACAAGGUUGGAGUUAGUGGUCAAAAUGACAUGCUCGUAUUGUCAGAACCGAUGAGGUUGAUGUACAUGGGCUAUAACCUAAAUCCAACAUGAAGAAUGCAUUGUUUAUGUAUAAUUGCUUACUGACAAUAUGCCACAAGGUUAGAGUUAGUGGUCAGACAUUGUUGUUGUGCACUUGAACCUGAACUGUAACUUUAACUGAAAGAGAAAAUUGACAAUAUUUGCUUCUUCAUUAAUUCACAUAGAAGUAGUCCAUUUCACCCCUUCAACAUGCAUACUAUAAACAGACCAAUCUCAUCUUGUCUCCUCUUAUUAUCUUUGGUUGAUGAAAAAAAAACAAGCAUGGUGGAGCACACAAACUACCCAUCAUCGGAUUACUUUCGAUAUCUAGAAAGUGUUUUACUCAAUUAUUUCGCUCACCCAUGAUGUGAUUAAUUAUAAAUAGUAAUUGCUAUUAGCUCAUUCAUAUUGUAGUUUCUGUAAGCCGAGAGUUAUAAAAAUAUGACCGCUUGUAAUAUAUCAAUCUUUUCUCAGAUAGCGCUAGGACAAAUGUACUGUAGUUUACAUUUUUCCGGUUUGGAUGAUUGUGUUAUGCUGUAGCUACUUCUGUGAAUGUCUGAAUAUUGCAUCCAAAAAUAAACUGUUCCCAUUCUGGACAUAACUUUGUAAGGACUCUGUUUGUGCAAACUGUUUCUGAAAAAACUGUGGCCAGCUCAAAUUCUGAUUGUUGCGUCAUUCGAAAUUGAACGUUCUAAAUACGUGUUCUAAUCACACCGGUUUGAUUGUAUGCUACAGGGACCGCUGGAAAGGUAAAUAACAGUAAAUACAAAAUGCUUAAU